AUGAAGAGUUUGAUCCUGGCUCAGGAUGAACGCUAGCUACAGGCUUAACACAUGCAAGUCGAGGGGCAGCAUGGUCUUAGCUUGCUAAGGCCGAUGGCGACCGGCGCACGGGUGAGUAACACGUAUCCAACCUGCCGUCUACUCUUGGACAGCCUUCUGAAAGGAAGAUUAAUACAAGAUGGCAUCAUGAGUCCGCAUGUUCACAUGAUUAAAGGUAUUCCGGUAGACGAUGGGGAUGCGUUCCAUUAGAUAGUAGGCGGGGUAACGGCCCACCUAGUCUUCGAUGGAUAGGGGUUCUGAGAGGAAGGUCCCCCACAUUGGAACUGAGACACGGUCCAAACUCCUACGGGAGGCAGCAGUGAGGAAUAUUGGUCAAUGGGCGAGAGCCUGAACCAGCCAAGUAGCGUGAAGGAUGACUGCCCUAUGGGUUGUAAACUUCUUUUAUAAAGGAAUAAAGUCGGGUAUGCAUACCCGUUUGCAUGUACUUUAUGAAUAAGGAUCGGCUAACUCCGUGCCAGCAGCCGCGGUAAUACGGAGGAUCCGAGCGUUAUCCGGAUUUAUUGGGUUUAAAGGGAGCGUAGAUGGAUGUUUAAGUCAGUUGUGAAAGUUUGCGGCUCAACCGUAAAAUUGCAGUUGAUACUGGAUAUCUUGAGUGCAGUUGAGGCAGGCGGAAUUCGUGGUGUAGCGGUGAAAUGCUUAGAUAUCACGAAGAACUCCGAUUGCGAAGGCAGCCUGCUAAGCUGCAACUGACAUUGAGGCUCGAAAGUGUGGGUAUCAAACAGGAUUAGAUACCCUGGUAGUCCACACGGUAAACGAUGAAUACUCGCUGUUUGCGAUAUACGGCAAGCGGCCAAGCGAAAGCGUUAAGUAUUCCACCUGGGGAGUACGCCGGCAACGGUGAAACUCAAAGGAAUUGACGGGGGCCCGCACAAGCGGAGGAACAUGUGGUUUAAUUCGAUGAUACGCGAGGAACCUUACCCGGGCUUAAAUUGCAGAUGAAUUACGGUGAAAGCCGUAAGCCGCAAGGCAUCUGUGAAGGUGCUGCAUGGUUGUCGUCAGCUCGUGCCGUGAGGUGUCGGCUUAAGUGCCAUAACGAGCGCAACCCUUGUUGUCAGUUACUAACAGGUUCCGCUGAGGACUCUGACAAGACUGCCAUCGUAAGAUGUGAGGAAGGUGGGGAUGACGUCAAAUCAGCACGGCCCUUACGUCCGGGGCUACACACGUGUUACAAUGGGGGGUACAGAGGGCCGCUACCACGCGAGUGGAUGCCAAUCCCAAAAACCUCUCUCAGUUCGGACUGGAGUCUGCAACCCGACUCCACGAAGCUGGAUUCGCUAGUAAUCGCGCAUCAGCCACGGCGCGGUGAAUACGUUCCCGGGCCUUGUACACACCGCCCGUCAAGCCAUGGGAGCCGGGGGUACCUGAAGUGCGUAACCGCGAGGAGCGCCCUAGGGUAAAACUGGUGACUGGGGCUAAGUCGUAACAAGGUAGCCGUACCGGAAGGUGCGGCUGGAACACCUCCUUU
rnacentral:rRNA from 1 species